rnacentral:lncRNA from 1 species
AGAAACUGACAAGGAGAUUGCAACAUUUUUAUGAAGAUAUAGAAAAUGUCUAAAUGUCCUAAAACUCAUUGGUGAUGUUGCACCACUAUUUCCAGGGAAGUUACUAAAAUCAUCAAACUGUACAUUUGAAAUGGUUGAAUGUUAUAUAAGAGAGGUAUCUGUGAGGCUGCUUAAAAAUGCCCAAGAUGCCUCUGUUCAAUCGGAAGGACUCGUGGUCUCCAUCCCCCAACUCCAGGAGCCACCAGAAAGGCUCUUCAUGACCUUUCCUGUAGGUCAGGGCGAGAGAAGCUGAAAAAUUCCAUUCUCUCCAGCAAGAGAGGUGUCAGACUGGCUGGAGGUCAGGAACCUUUGAGGGUAAUGGAUCUUCUGAGUGUCACUUCAUCCCAAGGGUCUACUUAGAUUCAAAUCCCUCUUGCUGCCGUAUCAGCUGUGACUCCUAACGUCCAGGCUGGGGUUCUUUCCGUGGGGAUUCUGCAUUCUACGUCCCUUCAGUCAUCACAGAUUCCACACGGCUUCUGUAGCUACUGCUACCUGAGUUAGCCAUGAGCAACUCACCAAAGGAAAAACAGAGGCUGAGAGUCCGGACAGAGGGAGAGGACUCCUGCCCUCACGUGUGCCUGGACUCUCGGCUUCCACCCCGGGCCACACCAGCACACCUCUGUUAGCAAGCCCUAAGCCCCCCACGCACCCUGUUUCUCCAUGACGCCAUGUCCUAGCAGGUCCCCCCUCCCUCCGCAUCCUCCCCACCACAAAGCACCCCACCUCCUGGGGCCUCACUGCCCAGCCCGGCCCCUGUGGCCUCCCCUCAGCUGAGCCCCUAGAGCAGCCAGAACAUAGGACUCCAGCUGGAAACAUUGCUGGCUGUUACUCCUGGACUGGGGGCCUUCUCUCCCGUCUCCUCGGGAGAAAGGGUCACCAUGGCUUAUAUUUCUCAUUUUACAUGACACUUCCGGGCUCCUGUGUGCUGGCUUCGUUGUGGGUGGUUCCACGGAGACAGCAGCCUGCGAGCUGGCUGGCGGGAGGAGAGGCGGCCCUCCUCAGCAGGCCACAGGAAGCAGUCCGCUGGGCAGGAGGGACACGGAGCUGAAGGCGUCCAGGACAGAGAGGGCAGGAGAGGAAGAGCCGGGGUGGCGCCAGGAGCGAGGCGGAGGCGGGCAGACUGUGACAGCUGGCUCUGGGCACCUGGCGGAGACCCAGGGGAGCCUGGGAGGGUGCGCCCCCCAACCAGGCUAGGACUUGGCCCCCUGUGACGGCCAACCCCGCGCCUCCCUGACACUUCCUCUGAAGCUGGGAGAGAGGAGAAGCCCCCAGCCUGCUAAGCUGGGGCUGGAAGCCCGGAGCCCUCAGGCCACAGGAGAGGCUGAACCGAUCCCAGCCGCUCACCCCACGAGCGGGCAGAUGAGCUGCCCACGCAGGCCUGUCUCACGGACCCUCCCGGUCGCAGGGGGUCUUUGACAUUCACCACCGCGGAGAGGCGCUCGGGGUGGGAAGAGGAGACACGGCCCUCCGGCUUCUCCCCCACAUUUCUCCCAGCCCAGCCUGCAGCUCUGUCAUGAGGAUAAGUGACUCUCGUGGAAGCUGAGAGGUAUUUCCAGCCAGUUCCACAGCUCCUCAGCAGAGGGGGGAAGCGAGAGGGCUCCCCUCGUCUGCCUGCCCUGUGUGCGCAGGGCCGCCUUCCCUGACCGCCUCCUCCGCGCCUCCCAGCCCCUUCUUCCCCCUCAGGCCUCCUCCGGCCCGGCCUCAGGGCUGAAUGCUGUCCUCAGCAAGCCCCCUGCCAGCCCUUCUUGGCCAUGGACCCUAGACCAGGGCCAGCAAACCUGUCCUGGAAAGCGCCAGAGACUCCAUGUGCCAGCGCAAACCCGACCAUGGACCCAAGAGAAACGAAGGAACACAACAGGGCUCCAAUAAAGCUUUCGUCACCAAGGCAGGCGGGGGCGCACGCGGCCCUCAGGCCCUGGCUCGCUGCCCCGAGCGCACCAGCCGGCUUCGUGGACUUGGGAGAGCGCGAGGCCCUCAGCAAAUACCGCAGAAAGAGUGUAACGCCGUGAGGACGCCAACGCUGAGCCACGCCGCGCGCCCGCUUCCCGUCCCAGCGGCCUCCUCCCCACGAAGAGCGACUGAGCUGCGGAAACGGCGAAGGCGGACCGAGAGGCUGGUGGAGGGUCCCCGACACCACACGAGCCAGGGCCACGUGCGUCCCCACUUGACCGGUGAGGAAACUGAGGCUCAGGAAGUGGAUGCAAGGCACCCAGUGACAGGCGCAGUGAGUCCCAGUGUUCCUGACUCCCGUUUGACACGCCCUCGGCCUCCCAACCCCGACAGGGGGAGCCCCCAAACACAAGCCCUCCCGGAAAACGGCCCCUACGGAGGCGGAGAGGAAAGCGCCAGGCCCCCGCCUGGCUGAGCCACCACACGGAGCAGGGAGCCAGUACUUCUCAAAGACGCACGGCCCCACGCGACGUCACCUUUGAUGCUCCUGGUGAAACAAAGCCUCUAUUCUCUUGCCAGUGUCCCCCCCUCAGACGGGAAGAAGCUUUUGAUCUACCGAUUACAUUCCUGUGCUCCUCAGGUGACAAGCGUCCCCUGCCCGACACCCUGAUGACGGACGUGCCUUUGACUAACAAGGUGUAAGAAACUUGGCCCCCGGGCCAGGCAGCGCCCAGCGAAGGACAGACCGAGGGCUGCAAGGGGCGAGGCGAGCCCCAGCCUGCCCAACGCAGGAUCCCGCAGCAGCCCACGUGGAGGUGACUUGGCACGACCUCAGCGAAGCCCCCAUCAGCUCAUCCACAUCUGCACCGAAAAUGGUGACAACCCGGUUGCAGAGGCCACUGGCCCCUUCCAGGCGAAUCCGUUUGGAAAGGAGGGCGGGAGCGAGGCCAGCCCGACUCCAGCCGCCUUCUGCGCAAGAGCCAUCCGGCACCAACACCGUCACUAUUCGAGCUGCCUGAGCUCACUCUUGUUUUGUGUGCCCCCAUCAUAUCCGCGGCAGAUCUCCGACUGAGCUGCCCGGCCUGGGAGCUGGGAUGUCAGGACCCCGUGGGGCAGGUAGUGACCAACCCAAAGUCAACGACCCACACAGGCAGCCCUUUUACAGGAGGAGUCAGGCUGCUCCCUGGUGGGAUUGAGCAUCAAGAACACUGGCCUGAUGUCCUGGUUUGCACGGCUCUGUCCUGCAAACAAGGUCCAUGGGGACAGGGCAAACUAGUGGACAGAGUGGGUCCUGGGUGGGCCUAGAACCUGGAAGGAGUCACCACUGCGAGAAGGGCAGCCAAGGUGCUUCUUUACGACCUUAUGCCGAGGGCACGUUCUUAGAAGGCCAACCCACAGGGGAUGCUUCCAGGGGUAAAACUGUUCUCGGAGACACUCCGAGGUAGACCACCCAUAAAGGUACAACAGCAAGAGUAAGCCCCACGGACUUGCGUUCAUCAUAACCUAUCCGUGUUGCCACUUGUCACAGAGAACCACACGGACGAAAGAUGUGAGCAGGAGGGACAACGGUGAGGGAGACGGUAGUGAAGGGGGACUCUGUGCUACCUGCUCCACUUUUUGCAAACUUAAAACUUCUCCAGAAAAAGAAACUCUAUUAACUAGGAAGGAAGGAAGCGAGAGAGGAGGGAAGCUCUGAGGCUUUGCAGGGCCGUCCGGGCCCACCCAGUCACAGCUGGCGUCUCUGGAUGUGGUGUCUCUGGGUGUGAGCAUGACAGUGUCUGCCCCUAGGCUCCAGGCCGCUGGGAAAGGGCGUAGGGACAGGGGAAGGGCCAGCAGUCAGGAGGCUGUUACCACAAGCCAGGCGGGAGAAGGUGCAGACCUGGGCAUAAAGCCCACAUUUCCGGGGACCGCAGCAGGAACAUGAGGGGAGAAGCGGUGCCCACCUAGGCUAUCCUGCUAUAACUGUGAG